GAUGAACGCUGGCGGCGUGCCUAAUACAUGCAAGUAGAACGCUGAAGGAGGAGCUUGCUCUUCUGGAUGAGUUGCGAACGGGUGAGUAACGCGUAGGUAACCUGCCUGGUAGCGGGGGAUAACUAUUGGAAACGAUAGCUAAUACCGCAUGACAACAGUUAUUGCAUGAUAACUGUUUAAAAGGGGCAACUGCUCCACUACCAGAUGGACCUGCGUUGUAUUAGCUAGUUGGUGAGGUAACGGCUCACCAAGGCGACGAUACAUAGCCGACCUGAGAGGGUGGUCGGCCACACUGGGACUGGGACACGGCCCAGACUCCUACGGGAGGCAGCAGGAGGGAAUCUUCGGCAAUGGACGGAAGUCUGACCGAGUAACGCCGCGUGAGUGAAGAAGGUUUUCGGAUCGUAAAGCUCUGUUGUAAGAGAAGAACGAGUGUGAGAGUGGAAAGUUCACACUGUGACGGUAUCUUAACAGAAAGGGACGGCUAACUACGUG
rnacentral:rRNA from 1 species